rnacentral:tRNA from 1 species
GGGGUUGUGGCUCAGUGGUAGAGCGCUCACCUAGCCCACGUGAGGCACUGGGUUCGAUCCUCAGCACCCCA